GCCUCGAUAGCGCAGUAGGCAGCGCGCGAGUCUCAUAAUCCCGAGGUCGUGAGUUCGAACCUCACUCGUGGCA
rfam:Daphnia pulex DAPPTscaffold_273_Cont8137, whole genome shotgun sequence.